GGGUCAGUAGGUUGGUCGUGCCACCGGUACGUACUGGUCUCACUGAUUCCUCCUUCCUGAAGAACCGUAAUGCCAUUAAUUUGGUGUUGCGGGGAAACAGGACUGUUACUUUGGAAAAAUUGGAGUGUUUAAAGCAAGCUAACGCUUGAAUACAUUAGCAUGGAAUAAUGAAAUAGGACGAUCGAUCCUAUUUUGUUGGUUUCUAGGAUUGACGUA
rnacentral:rRNA from 1 species